CUACGUGCCAGCAGCCGCGGUAAUACGUAGGUCCCGAGCGUUGUCCGGAUUUAUUGGGCGUAAAGCGAGCGCAGGCGGUUAGAUAAGUCUGAAGUUAAAGGCUGUGGCUUAACCAUAGUACGCUUUGGAAACUGUUUAACUUGAGUGCAAGAGGGGAGAGUGGAAUUCCAUGUGUAGCGGUGAAAUGCGUAGAUAUAUGGAGGAACGCCGAUGGCGAAGGCAGGUCUCUGGGCUGUAACUGACGCUGAGAAGCGAAAGCAUGGGGAGCGAACAGGAUUAGAUACCCUGGUAGUCCAUGCCGUAAACGUUGGGCACUAGGUGUGGGGGACAUUCCACGUUUUCCGCGCCGUAGCUAACGCAUUAAGUGCCCCGCCUGGGGAGUACGGCCGCAAGGCUAAAACUCAAAGAAAUUGACGGGGGCCCGCACAAGCGGCGGAGCAUGCGGAUUAAUUCGAUGCAACGCGAAGAACCUUACCAAGGCUUGACAU
rnacentral:rRNA from 1 species